rnacentral:lncRNA from 1 species
AGAGCAACUUGAGGCACAAGACGAUGCCUUGUCAAGUGAUGAGGAGGAUGCAAAUGAAGAGAGCUGCAGUGACUUACCUCAGACAACAGCACCAGCGGACACUGAUCAACAAUCAGUCUCACAGAAAGAUCAAGGUUCAUCAAUCCCUUCAAAAAGAAAAUGGGAGGACUUUGAGGUAACAGCAGUUGAAAAACAUAUGAUGAAGUUCAUAAAGACCUGCAAAGUUCCUGUCAGAAGAUCACAGGGAUCAGCAGAAGUAAAGGAAUGAAAGAGGGAGGACUGUAUGUAAAGGGGAAGAAAAGGAGGAGCCAAGCUAAAGCAGAAUAAAGAGGGAGGAGUGUAGGUAAAGAGGUGUGUUUGAGUUGAACUAUAGUAGCCUUCUAGCUGUGUUUCUGCAUGCAGAUCAGUACAAUGAACACCAAAGUGAGUACGUAGAGCUGAAUGUAUCAGAACACAAUACAACACACUUCAUGGUUAUUGUGGAGAGUCAUGGCCAAUGAGAAUGAAGUGUUGUCAUUAAGGCUUGCACAGCCGAUUUGAGGGCAGCAUCAGCGUCUGAUCUGGGUAGUUGGUCUUGUCUUGCUCUUGCUGUACUUUGAUGGCACAUGUGAUCACAAGGCGGCUGCAACUCCAAUCAAAGUCAAAGUCCAAUCAAAUUUUCUAACCUAAAAGCAUUUGUUAGGAUGCGGUCGGUCUGCCCGGCAACAUAAGCCAAACACAAGGAGAAGAAAAGAGGAGGGGCGAAGGUAAAGAGGAAGAAAAUAUGGAGAAGUAAAAAAUAAAGGGGAAGAAAGAUGGAGGAGUGAAAGUAAAGGGGAAGAAAAGAUGGAGGAGUGAAGGUAAAGGGGAAGAAAAGAUGGAGGAGAGAAAGAAAAGGGAAGGAAAAGAUGGAGGAGUGAAGGUAAAGGGGAAGAAAAGAUGGAGGAGUGAAGGUAAAGGGGAAGAAAAGAUGGAGGAGUGAAGGUAAAGGGAAGGAAAAGAUGGAGGAGUGAAGGUAAAGGGGAAGAAAAGAUGGAGGAGUGAAGGUAAAGGGGAAGAAAAGAUGGAGGAGUGAAGGUAAAGGGGAAGAAAAGAUGGAGGAGUGAAAGUAAAGGGAAGGAAAAGAUGGAGGAGUGAAGGUAAAGGGGAAGAAAAGAUGGAGGAGUGAAGGUAAAGGGG